rnacentral:rRNA from 1 species
GAUGAACGCUGGCGGCGUGCCUAACACAUGCAAGUCGAGCGAACGGACGCGAAGUUUGCUUCUUUCUUGUUAGCCGCGGACGGGUGUGUAACACGUGUAUACUGCACCUAUAUUUCUGGUAUAACUUCGGGACACCGUCGCUUAUCCCGGAUAAUCUUUUGAUCCGUGGUGUUGGAUAGAGAAAGACGGCCUUGCUGUCUCUUAUAGAUGGUUCCGCGCUGCAUUAGCUAGUUGUUACGGUAACGGCUUACCACGGCAACGAUGCGUAGCCGACCGCAGAGGCUGGUCGCCCACACGGGAACGGAGACACGGUCAAGACGCCUACGGGAGGGAGCAGUAGGGAAUCGUACGCAAUGGGCGAGAGCCUGACGGAGCAGCGCGGCGUGAGUGAUGAAGGUCUUGGGAGCGGAAAACUCUGUUAUUAGGGAAGAACAUAUGUGUAAGUAGCUGUGGACAUCUUGACGGUACCUAAUCAGAAAGCAACGGCUAACUACGUG